UGUAUAUAUAUAGAUUAUAUGUAUUAUAAAUAAAUAUAUCCUCCUGUUACUUGGGAAGUUGCCCAAUGCUUCGUUUCUUAGACAUGCGACUGAGAGAGUAUACAUGCCAAUAUGUUGCCUUUAUCUGCAUUUGCACCUGCACCUUGACUUCUCUUUUCUCUUUCUUUCUGUCUGCUUUUGCUUAUGACUUCAAAGCAUGAAAAAAUCUGCUUUUUUUUUUUGUUUUUUGUUUUUUUUGAAUGGGGAGAUGAAUCGACAAGAGGUGCAGGUGCUGGUGCAGGUGAAUGCCAUCUUGGCCGCAGCAGCCAAAGAUACAUCACUAGACAAAGCCCUAUAGAUCUUAAAGAAAGGCUUUUGAAGGUAGUAAAUAUCUCCCAUUUCAUCUCUUUCUUUGUGUUUGUGACUCGAGAUCCAUCACUAUAAGAGCUUCCUGCUACGGAAAUGAAGAGUCUCACAAAUGGGCUUCUAGAAGUUGGCUACUACAAAUUCAGUCAUAUUGAGGCUUUGGCAAGUCUAUCUGCAAAAACCUAGGGUGAGUCUGAUAAUUUGGACCAAGUGUUUCUUCAUGCAUGCAUGUGUAGCUUUCAUACUCCAUCUUGCUAAUGCUUGCCUAAAUAUCGUUAGGGCACUCCAAGAAAAAUAGCACUGGAACUAUAUAUUAUUAGCCAUGACAGGAAAAAGUCUCCCGACAAUUUUUUGGUUGUGAAUCUUGUGAUGAUGUGACAUAAAUAUAAAAAUAAUUUUGAGUGUUUUGUGAACAUUUUAUGUUUUGAAUAUUUGUUAACAAUAUAUGCUUUUGCUUGUUUAAUUUCCUAAAACACCAAAAAGCUACCCUAAAAAGCAUUGCCAAACCAGCAUUUAUCUUUAGUGACGACACUAAUGUUGUCACCCAAACAGCAGUUACCUUGACUAGACGGGACAGAGGUAAGGCGAGAUUGAUGCAAUCAGAUCUUUAAGCUGAAAAUGAAUGGUCCCAAUAUUCCUCUUAUCAUUCCCGACAGUGCAAAAACGUUAAAAGUGUAGCAUACAUUGUCUGCAAUUGAACGACCGUCCCAAAUGAGGAUAAGAAGAUGUUAUAUAUAUCUUCUUAACUAUUAUUUUUCACCCUAAUUUCUUACUUAGAUAUGGUUUGUGUGGAGGAGAAGCUUGCAUGCACAGUUAUCAAACAACUCGUCACGAUUUGCAGAGGAUCUUACCCAAGAAGUGUACGUGGACAGCAUUAUGUGUCCAAUUGGACCUCCAUCGAUCACUGGUUGCUAUCGUUGCCUUCAUUCACCCGUCAGCAGCCCUUCUCUAGCAUCCCAUCGUGUCGCUGUCAUUUACCAUCCUCUGUACCCUAUGGAUCUCUCACUUUGCCUCAUUUUUGCUUAACACUCAGAUCUAUUUGUGCAUUAAAGCAUAUGAUUAUGGCCCAUUAGACAGUGGUGAGCCAAAAAAUCAUCAUUGUAGGGGCCGAAAAGGCAUUGAUAUUGUUUCUAAUUCUCAAAAAGAUAACGAUUCUCAAAAGACCAA